rnacentral:rRNA from 1 species
AGUGGAGCCUGCGGCUUAAUUUGACUCAACACGGGAAACCUCACCAGGUCAGGACAUUGUAAGGAUUGACAGAUUGAUAGCUCUUUCUUGAUUCAGUGGGUAGUGGUGCAUGGCCGUUCUUAGUUGGUGGAUCGAUUUGUCUGGUUAAUUCCGAUAACGAACGAGACUCUAGCCUAUUAACUAGACGAUCCUUAGCCUCCGUCUAAGGCGAAACAAACCUCUUCUUAAGGGGACAGGCGGCUUAUAGCCGCACGAGAUUGAGCAAUAACAGGUCUGUGAUGCCCUUAGAUGUCCUGGGCCGCACGCGCGCUACAAUGAAAGAAUCAGCGUGUGUCUCCCAGCCCGAUAGGGCCGGGUAAUCCGCUGAACCUCUUUCGUGCUUGGGAUUGUGGCUUGCAAUUGUUCUUCAUGAACGAGGAAUUCCCAGUAAGCGCGAGUCAUAAGCUCGCGUUGAUUACGUCCCUGCCCUUUGUACACACCGCCCGUCGCUACUACCGAUUGAAUGAUUUAGUGAGGUCUUCGGACUGGCGGGAAAUCUCUACCGUUU